rnacentral:rRNA from 1 species
GAUGAACGCUGGCGGAGUGCCUAACAUAUGCAAGUCGAGCGGCAGCGCGAGUAGUUUACUACUUGGCGGCGAGCGGCGGACGGCUGAGUAACGCGUGGGAACAUGCCCCCAAAGUGAGGAAUAACUGCCCGAAAGGGUAGCUAAUGCCGCAUACGAUCUUCGGAUUAAAGGAUUUAUCCGCUUUGGGAGUGGCCUGCGUACGAUUAGAUAGUUGGUGAGGUAAUGGCUCACCAAGUCUACGAUCGUAACUGGUUUGAGAGGAUGAUCAGUCAGACUGGAACUGAGACACGGUCCAGACUCCUACGGGAGGCAGCAGUGAGGAAUCUUCCACAAUGGACGAAAGUCUGAU